GACGAACGCUGGCGGCGUGCUUAACACAUGCAAGUCGAACGGAAAGGCCCUGCUUUUGUGGGGGGCUCGAGUGGCGAACGGGUGAGUAACACGUGAGUAACCUGCCCUGGACUUUGGGAUAACUUCAGGAAACUGGGGCUAAUACCGGAUAGGAGCUCCUGCUGCAUGGGGGGGGUGGGAAAGUUUCGGCGGUUGGGGAUGGACUCGCGGCUUAUCAGCUUGUUGGUGGGGUAGUGGCUUACCAAGGCUUUGACGGGUAGCCGGCCUGAGAGGGUGACCGGCCACAUUGGGACUGAGAUACGGCCCAGACUCCUACGGGAGGCAGCAGUGGGGAAUAUUGCACAAUGGGCGGAAGCCUGAUGCAGCAACGCCGCGUGCGGGAUGACGGCCUUCGGGUUGUAAACCGCUUUCGCCUGUGACGAAGCGUGAGUGACGGUAAUGGGUAAAGAAGCACCGGCUAACUACGUG
rnacentral:rRNA from 1 species